rnacentral:rRNA from 1 species
CCGUACCCAUCAGAGGGGGAUAACACUUGGAAACAGGUGCUAAUACCGCAUAACAGUUUAUGCCGCAUGGCAUAAGAGUGAAAGGCGCUUUCGGGUGUCGCUGAUGGAUGGACCCGCGGUGCAUUAGCUAGUUGGUGAGGUAACGGCUCACCAAGGCCACGAUGCAUAGCUGACCUGAGAGGGUGAUCGGCCACACUGGGACUGAGACACGGCCCAG